AGGAUCAUUAAAAAAUACCUUUACACACUGAUUUAGUAUUAGUACAACAAAUAACCACAACCAAUAUCAAUAAUUUUAAGUUAAUUACAACUUUCAACAACGGAUCUCUUGGUUCUCGCACCGAUGAAGAACGCAGCGAAAUGCGAUACGUAGUAUGACAUGCAGACGUGAAUCAUCGAAUCUUUGAACGCACAUUGCACGGGCAACCGUAUGCUGGUAGGAGCGGACUACACCUCAAAAGUAGUUCUUUUGGAUAUGGGGACCGCGCUGCGGCCCCUAAAAAUGUUAACAGAACCAGUAAACUUUUUCUGUUCUAUUUUUCCCUCCUACUAGUAAGAAUACCCGCUGAACUUAA
rnacentral:misc_RNA from 1 species